CCAGCACCCCGAGUGGUCGGGACGAUUAUUGGGCCUAAAGCAUCCGUAGCCGGUCCUGCAAGUCUUCCGUUAAAUCCAGCUGCUCAACAGAUGGGCUGCGGAGGAUACUACAGGGCUAGGAGGCGGGAGAGGCAAGCGGUACUUUAUGGGUAGGGGUAAAAUCCGUUGAUCCAUAGAAGACCACCAGUGGCGAAGGCGGCUUGCCAGAACGCGCUCGACGGUGAGGGAUGAAAGCUGGGGGGAGCAAACCGGAUUAGAUACCCGGGUAGUCCCAGCUGUAAACGAUGCAGACUCGGUGAUGGGUUGGCUUCGUGCCAACCCAGUGCCGCAGGGGAAGCCGUUAAGUCUGCCGCCUGGGGAGUACGGUCGCAAGACUG
rnacentral:rRNA from 1 species